rnacentral:rRNA from 1 species
CCUACGGGAGGCAGCAGUGAGGAAUAUUGGUCAAUGGGCGCGAGCCUGAACCAGCCAAGUAGCGUGAAGGAUGACUGCCCUACGGGUUGUAAACUUCUUUUAUAAAGGACUAAAGUGAGGCACGUGUGCCUUUUUGUAUGUACUUUAUGAAUUAGAAUCGUCUAACUCCGUGCCAGCAGCCGCGGUAAUACGGAGGGUCCGAGCGUUCUCCGGAUUUAUUGGGUUUAAAGGGAGCGUAGGUGGGUUGUUAAGUCAGUUGUGAAAGUUUGCGGCUCAACCGUGAAAGUGCAGUUGAAACUGGCAGUCUUGAGUACAGUAGAGGUGGGCGGAAUUCGUGGUGUAGCGGUGAAAUGCUUAGAUAUCACGAAGAACUCCGAUUGCGAAGGCAGCUCACUGGACUGCAACUGACACUGAGGCUCGAAAGUGUGGGUAUCAAACAGGAUUAGAUACCCUGGUAGUC